rnacentral:tRNA from 1 species
ACCAGGAUGGCCGAGUGGUUAAGGCGUUGGACUUAAGAUCCAAUGGGCUCAUGCCCACGUGGGUUUGAACCCCACUCCUGGUA